ensembl:lncRNA
GAAAAUCUGGAGCCUGCCAAAUGCUACAGGGUGCUUUUCCACUAGGCUGCCCUCAACUUCUCUGCCCCGCUGCACGUCCUACCGCAGUUGUCUGGGCCCCCAGCCUGGGCAGAGUAAGGGGCGAGCGGUGCGCGGGAAAGGCAGGCCAGCAGCAGGUGGGGAGGUGGCGGACUUCUGUCUCUGGGAAGGAAAUGGACUGAGAUGAAAGGGCGGAAAGCAGUGGCGCUCAGGGCUUGUGUCUGCGGGAUCCCGACCUUCUCGAAAUCGCCCCGGGCUCCUCUAAUUAGAGAAGGGAUGCAGGGUGGGCGUUAGUGCCCAAACGUUUUAAUCGAGCCUCUUUUCAAUGGCCAGGGAUAAAUGUUGCCACUGUUACUCUGUGCUGAAUGGGUCACGAAGACCCCCGCCCGGCCCCCAGCGUGGCCAUUCAGGGCUCUUUUCACAACCUCUAAGCGUUUCAGUCCCUGGGCCUAGCGACACUCCGGAGCGCUCCUAAUUAGUCUAAUUAGAAAGGUGGAUUGAUAGAUGGGAAGAAGACAAGAGUUGGGUUAGGAAGAUGCGCAAUGCUGCCAAUUUCGGCUGGGUAGCCGCUUAUUCUCUCCAGAAAGAAAAGGCCGAAAAGGAGGCUGGAGCUGGAGCCAGCCAGCCCGCCCUGCAGAGGCUCGGCUCCCGCGGGAUCCGCGAGCUGGGCGGUCGCUGACCCCGCGCUUCCCUCGCUCUGCCGGAGCAGACAGCGGGCACCUCCGGUUUCUCCCAGAGCGAGUCUCAGGGCCUCGGGACGAACAGCCUUUGCGGAGAGAAGCUGGAAGGAAGGGCCGAGGCCGAGAGCUGCACGGCCUCGCGCCCCGGCCCGGAGCCUCUCCGGCCCGCUGCGCCCCGCCGCCGCCCCUUCUUCCCCCGGAAAGCGGUGCAGAGGCGCGGCCUGGGCGGCCGGCGGGCCGGGCAGCGGGGACUUCGGGGGUCACGACCGGAAGGUCGGUGCGGGGCCUCUGCGUCCCGCCGCGCCACGUGGCCACUCCCCGCGCCCUCCCGCCCCGGGCCUUGCGGGCUGUCCAAGCUGCGCUUCGUCUCAAUAAAGCCGAAACCCCAAGAAGGAAAGAACUUUGGCUUGAAGAAGGAGGCUUAACUGCGUGCGGCCGUACGCUUGCAUCGCGUUCUGUUGGACAGAGAGCCCCAGGACUGUCAGACGGCGAAGGGUUAGGAAGUGCGCGCAGCCUCGCCGACCCCUGCCCAGUCCGAGAACCAGAGCUGUUGUCGAUCGAGGGCCCGGCCGUUGCGCCCGGGGCGCGCGGGCCUCGCUGA